rnacentral:misc_RNA from 1 species
GCUGCUGCUGCUGCUGCUGCUGUCUUUGUUGGUCCUUACAGGUAAAAAGACUUCUAACAACGAACCAUGAAGGUGGUUUUUCUGAUUUUUGGGGAUGCUGGUUUUGGUUCUGGUGGAUUUCCUUGAUGUGUUUUAUUGGAGGUUUAGGUUUAGCCAUUGAGCAGUUAUCAAGAACUGGAGCUUGAGCUAAAUAAAUGGUAUGGUACUUGGGGUUUUCCUCACAUGCCCUAAACUGCUGGUUAUUAAGAUCAGAGGACUGAAGCUUUGUUUUGUAGGAGAUUUUCU